GAUGAACGCUGGCGGCGUGCCUAAUACAUGCAAGUCGAGCGAACGGACGAGAAGCUUGCUUCUCUGAUGUUAGCGGCGGACGGGUGAGUAAAACGUGGAUAACCUACCUAUAAGACUGGGAUAACUUCGGGAAACCGGAGCUAAUACCGGAUAAUAUUUUGAACCGCAUGGUUCAAAAGUGAAAGACGGUCUUGGUGUCACUUAUAGAUGGAUCCGCGCUGCAUUAGCUAGUUGGUAAGGUAACGGCUUACCAAGGCAACGAUGCAUAGCCGACCUGAGAGGAUGAUCGGCCACACUGGAACUGAGACACGGUCCAGACUCCGACGGGAGGCAGCAGUAGGGAAUCUUCCGCAAUGGGCGAAAGCCUGACGGAGCAACGCCGCGUGAGUGAUGAAGGUCUUCGGAUCGUAAAACUCUGUUAUUAGGGAAGAACAUAUGUGUAAGUAACUGUGCACAUCUUGACGGUACCUAAUCAGAAAGCCACGGCUAACUACGUG
rnacentral:rRNA from 1 species